rnacentral:rRNA from 1 species
AGAUUGAACGCUGGCGGAAUGCUUUACACAUGCAGUCGAACGGCAGCACGGGGGCAACCCUGGUGGCGAGUGGCGAACGGGUGAGUAACACAUCGGAACGUGCCCAGUCGUGGGGGAUAACGUAGCGAAAGCUACGCUAAUACCGCAUACGAACUCUGGUUGAAAGCGGGGGACCGUAAGGCCUCGCGCGAUUGGAGCGGCCGAUGGCAGAUUAGGUAGUUGGUGGGUAAAGGCUCACCAAGCCGACGAUCUGUAGCUGGUCUGAGAGGACGACCAGCCACACUGGGACUGAGACACGGCCCAGACUCCUACGGGAGGCAGCAGUGGGAAUUUGGACAAUGGACGCAAGUCUGAUCCAGCCAUUCCGCGUGCAGGAUGAAGGCCCUCGGUAGUAAACUGCUUUUGGACGGAACGAAAAGCCGCUUUCUAAGUACGAGCGGUCAUGACGGUACGUCAGAAUAAGCACCGACUAACUACGUCGCCAGCAGCCG